rnacentral:lncRNA from 1 species
CAGAAACAGGGUCUUGCUAUGUUGACCAGGCUGAUCUCAAACUUCUGACCUCAAGCAGUCCUUCCACCUCAGCCUCCUGAAACACUGGGAUUACAGGCCAGAGCCACCAUGCCAGGCUAUGAAGUUUUAUUUUAAGUUUCGAGAUGUGGGGAUUUCUUUUUUAAAGCAGCAAGUACUACCUGAACUAAAACGGGUGAUUUUGCAACUUGCUACGGAUUAUGGAAAUAGUUGGCAUCUAUAUUGGUGAGGUACCCACCAAAACUCAAACAGAAGGAAUGCCAUUUUGGAGAACGAAUCUCAACUUUAACCUUCUUUCAUCCGUGGGAGUAAAGAGACAGAAAGGGAAUGAAUUUCCAAGAAGACCAGCGUAGAACGGAAAAAUAUCAGAGGAGGGAGAAUUGUUAAGGAUUUCCAGUAUCUCAAGUGUGGAUGCUGUCCUGAGCUGACCCAAGGCUCUGGAAAGGACACAGAACACAUUUAUGAGUCUUUUCACCCUCAUUUCGUUGAAGAUUUUAUUGGCCGAAGAACCCUCAGUAGGCACGAAAUUCAUUCUCACAAGCAGAGAGAUGCAUUAUGCUCCAUUUAUUGCUCAUCCUAAAUUAUAAACAUUUCCAGUGAAUGUAAAGGAAGAUAUGAUUGAAAAGGACUCUGUGAAGACAGGAUGUUUCUGUACAGUCCUUGUAUCUGCUCACCUAUUCCAAACUUUCCAGAGAUUUUACCAGAGGUUUAAGAUAUUCUCCUGAGGGUUUGCUGUAGAGAGAUUUUUCUUAACUAAGGAGUGCAAGUAGCAAGCAAUAGCCCACCCAGUUGGAGACAAAAAAGAAGGGUGUCAGUGUUCCCACUGUUAAAAAACAAAAAAAAAUCACCCUGGACACCUCUGAGAAUUAUACAAGGGGAUGUACACAGCCCUGCUUUAUUUGAGUUCAAAAGGAAGGUGGGUUUUGAAAGAAGAACAAGGAGAGUAGAUCUCUCUGGAUCUUCUGAUGCUCACAGCAAAGAGCUCAAGGUAUCUGAGUCAACUCUUGAGGCUUCUUCGAACAGAGGGAUGAAGAGAGAAUAUGGCAAGCUUGCCAACAGAUCCCAGAAGUUUUAAGAGAAAAGAACAGAUUGCUCUUUGCAAAACAAACCGAGCUGGGUGCAUGGAGCCCCAGUAGACAGAAAGUGAAGAAAACAUCAACGUUCUGAAGUUUUAGAUAGGUGCACCAUCCCUUAUGGAUACCAAUCUGUGCUCCCCAUAAACUUCUGUGCCCAGGGUCAACUGGCCAGGGACAACUGGCUCACCAGGAGGCCUACAUAGCCUCUUCUUCAGGCCCUAAUUACAGCUCUAUGCAAUAGGGACUCUGCCAUCUGACAGCCAAGGAGGUGGUUCGGUUUCUGCACAUGGUUUUUUCCGCUGGGUCCCUUGAGGUCCAUGGUAACCUCUUCCUCAUUCUCUACAGGCAGAUCACACUUUGUAAUAAGAUCAGAGGCAGAGAACUUUGACCAGAUCACACUUUAUAAUAAGAUCAGAGGCAAAGAACUCUGACCAGAUCACACUUUAUAAUAAGAUCAGAGGCAGAGAACUUUGACAACUAUCUCCUUGCCCUCUGGCCCUGGGGUCAGGGCUACUCAAACAACACCUGCUGUCCCAAACCCGGAGAAGUGUAGAUUUUGGCACUGGUAGAGGAAUAACAGCUAUUGUUGACACUUAAUCUUGUGGGCCUGGAAUUUCAACUAUGUUUUCACAACUCGGAGCCUAUUGCUGCCACCUCUGUCAGGGAAGAUAAAUGGGCAUGAAUAAUAGACAGAUGAGUUUCCCAAAAGCCCAGACAGGCUGCAGGGAACACGUAAUGAGCAGACAGUGUGGUUCACGCCGGGGAGCCCAGGUUUAUCCAGGCCUCAUCCUCACUCCCUUUCUCUACUGAUAAUUGGACCCAACAGGACCAUUCCGAAUCAUUUUUCUCUCUUCAGUUAUUCUUCAGUUCUACUCAAAGGGUCAGUUUAGGGCAUAAUUAAAGUCAAUUACUUUCUGAAAGGCCAUCAGGACAACUGUUAGAGAAAAUGAUAGCAGCCCCGCACUUGCUGUAGGAAUUAUUAGCUUGUCAGCCUCCAGGCUUAUGGAGACAAAGGAUCAAAAAGUUAGAGAGAUCCAGGUGUUCACCUAUUUGUUCACUAAUUCUUUUAUUGUGAGUGUGCAUGUGUGUGGGUGGGUGUGACAUUUAUUAUGAACCAGAGGGCAGGAGCCAGUGACACAGUGGUGCAGAGAAUAAUCAUAUUCCCUGCCUUCCUGGGGUCAUACAGCUUGGUGGAGGACACAGAUGUGAAUUCGGUAAUCACUCCAAUAAAUAUUCUCCUACAGAUGAAGAAAGAUGAUACGAUGUGAUGGACAACAGAGACUUAUAUGGUGGGGUCUGGGCUGGUCUUUCUGAAGCUAAGACUGGCAGGAUGAGCAGGAGUUUGCCAGACAAAGAGGAGUGGAGUUGUUUUCCAAACACAUCUCAGCACAAAGUGUUGUCUUUGCUGGGAGCUGAAAAAAGAUAGUGUGGGCAGAGACCAUUAGGUGAGACGCUUGAUAUGAGAUACAACCUCAACAGGUGGAAGAAGAUCAUGAGAGAUGAAGAGAGGAAUAUAGUACAGCAGAGAGGACACAGAAGCUGACGUCAGGGUGUCUCAGUUUGAAACCAGUGGCCACCCUGUUCCUCUCCCAUGUGGUCCCAUCAUGGGCCUCUAGGGUCUGGGAUAAGAGGUUAAUGAAUAUCUCAUACCCUAAGCAGGGGUGGUCCCUGCACUUUAGCAAAAAGUUAAGGAACUAGGGAAAAGAGAUGGAAAUAAUAAAGAGAUGGGACAAAGACUUUGAAGACCAAAGCCCCUGGGCUAUUCUCUUUUUUAAAUUUUUUUAUUUAAAUUUUCAUUUAUUUUUAUCAAGAUAGGGUCUCACUAUGUUGCCCAGGUUGGUCUCAAACUUUUGGCCUAAAGCAAUCCUCCCACCUUGGCCUCCCAAUGUGCUGGGAUUACAAUGUGAGCCACCACGUCCAGCCUCCUGGGAUAUUUCUCAAUGAAACAUUGGAUGCCAAGAUUGGUUUUGUGCCACAUGCCAAUUUCACAGAAGCCAGUCUAUGAGCCACCAGCUCUACUCAGCAAUUACAGUUUCUGGAACUUUGGCUAAAUUCCUGUAGAUGCACCACUGCUUGUGGCCUGACUCUUUGCCACCCAAGUGCGCUCAGCCUCCCCUGGGGAGUCUGCCAGGCUUGCAUGGCUCCCACUGCACUUGCUGUGCUGGGACCGAAAACAGUUUUUGUGCCCCUAGCUUAACUCCACUGGAUUCAUAGAGGCUUUGGCCUCCUCAAUGGCUGUCCUGGGACAGGGAGGCUGGUUAGCACAAUUAACACAACCUGGUCAUGCAAGGCAUUGAUGGUCCGUAACAUGAACUUUGACCAGUAGGAGACAGAGAAUGGAAAAAAGCCAGCAGAUAAAUCAUCUGGCCUUCCUCCCCUAUGACAGACUGUUCUGAGCCACAGUGUUUCACAUGUCUUCCUGGAGAUGUCCCACAUGACUUGAGCAACCAGCUGGAGCUCUGGAGAAACUGUGGCCAUCCUGGUAACAUAUGACCUUGUAUUUGCUUUCUCUCCUUCCUGCUUUAUUUCCCUAUGUCCCUUACUUUGGUUGUUGGGAUUGCACCUCCCAAUAAAGCAUUAGCAUGUCCGCUCUGCUUGGGGCUCUGUUUCCUGGGUUAAGACUCUGACUCUUGAAUGCUGAGGCAUUGUAUUGAGAAGGAGUUCAGGCUGGACUCACACCUGGUGAACAAGAGUGCUGUGGUGCGUGAGUGAGUUCUUCCACAGGUAUAAGAAAAGAUACUUAGUACCUGCCACCCCUGAACUAUCCUUUUACGGCAAAUGUUUGCUUAAAGUCAGCAGUCCCCUAAACAUACUUGAGAUCACAGAUGAAGCAAAAUCAGACUAUCUCCCAACAUAGAAAAGCACAAUAGGAAAGAAAUAUUUGGUGGUGAGAAGAUUAUAGCUAUAAGCAAAUUAGGCAAUCCAUCUGUGAGACCCAGCAUGCAGUAUGGUAGAAGUUGAAAAUAAAAACAUGGAUAAAAUUGCUUAAUGGAUUAUAAUAAUAUGCAUGACUGUGUGCCAGGCAGUGUACUAAGACUUUCUUGUUUCAUCCCAUUUGCUUAUUAUAACAGUACUAUAAGACAUGCACUCUUACAAACCCUUAUUUUACAGAGGAAGAAACAGGCCCAGAGAAGUUGGGUAACUCAUCAAAGGUCACAGAGCUAAGAGUGGCAGAGUCAGGCCUGGAGCCCAGGAAGUCUGGUUUCGAAUUUCAUGCUUCUAACCUGAGCACUGUACUGCUUGGUGGAGUUCUCUGCUAGUCCUACCUUUCAGGCAGAGGUGAUGCAGCAAGAAAGCUGCCACCAGAUGCAGCCCCUUGAUCUCGGACUGCCCAGCCUCUAGAACUGUGAGCCAAUUAAAUUUUUCCUUUGUAAAUUACCUAGUCUCUGGUAUCCUGUUAUAGCAGCAUAAACAGGCUAAGAUAGUAAGACAGUAGGGAAACAAGCUCCAGAUGUACUUGAAGUCUCUUGUUCUUAUUUUAGGAGUUGAAGAGCAAUUCCCUCCAGUUUCCAUUAGAAAUGCUUCUUCUUCCAUAUCAAAUAUUGUGAGAUAGCCUGAAACACCUUUCAACACUUUACUACCCUUCUCCAAAAUUCAACAGAUAUGAUUUCCACGGACUUUACUCACAGGGGCUUCAGUAGAAGAGGAAGAGGCUUGGGUUUAAUUGAAGGUGGCCUGAGACAUCUGUGAGGAACAGCCCUUUUAGAGACAUAUCCCCUACAAAUAAAGCAUCAGAAUUAUUAUCCUAAUACAUGAACAUCCAUGGUUCCUUCAGCACCAUCGUAAUGCAGAGACCAUGGGGAGAUGCAGGGAGAGGGCUCUGCACAGCAUGGCCAACUUGCCGGGUUGAAAACAGACAACCUCCAUGGAGCAGGGACUUCAAUUAGUUAAUUCCCCAUCCCCACUGUCACUUACUAACAUGGGAUUCUGAUUAAAAAUUAGAUUCUCUGCAAGAGGCUUAACUUAUAAUUUAAGAACUUUUGCUGUAUAACCAUUGCAAAAACAAUUACAUAAAGAUUAAUUAGCAAAUUCCCAAAACAGUAGUAAACGGCAAAGUAGUUUAAUUAAAACCAUUAUCUCCAAAAUCUGAACGUUAAUAACAGUUGUAGCUCAGGGAGAAAUAAGAGGCACACUGGCACAGAGUGGGGUAAAGGGAGGGUGUCCUUCGACACCAGCAUUCAGUCAGCCCAAGUCUCCACGGCUGCUGUCCUGUUAAUUACACUCCAGAACUCUGUGGCCACCGCGUCUUGAGAGGCCCUGGGCUCCUCCUAUGAGCCUCUGCAGCUGUAGCCUUGACGAACUUGUCAUUGCUGGCCUGCCUCCAACAAGAGGCCUUUAGCCCUCAGAAGAGAGGGAGGCAGCAGGGGGCACGAACAAGACUUUUAAGUGGGGAAUUCAUAAAAUUUGGAAUUGUCAGAAAACAUCUGUAACCAUGACUCUUGUCCUUCAGAAGACACUGAUAAAUUUAACCCAACCCAGACCCCUUAACACAAACUCUGAAGUAAAAGAUUGGCAAAGGAAGCCCAUGAGAAUGAAAUGUAACAAUAGCAACUAUGUAGUUAGCACACACACCAUAUGAUCUCACACAUUCACAAGAUCCUCAUGAAGCCACAUGGCCUUCAUUCUGUUAUUAUUUACUUAUUUAUUUAUGAGACAGGGUCCCACUCUGUUGCCCCAGUUGGAGUCAGUGGCACAAGGCAGUGUGCAGUGCUCAGUGCAGCCUCUAACUCCUGGCUCAAGUGAUCCUCCUACCCCAGAGUCCUGAGGGGCUGGGACUACAAGCACAUGCCACUAAGCUCAGCUAAUUUUUUUUCUUUUUUAAUUUUUUGUAGAGAUAGGGUCUGACUACAUUGCCCAGGCUGGUCUCAAACUCCUAGCCUCAAAUGAUCUUCCUGCCUCAGCCUCUCAAAGUGCUGGGAUUACAUGCGUGAGCCACUGCAUGCUGCCAUAUUAUUUUUAUUCUUAAGCUAAAGUCACUCACUUAGCCUCGUGCAUGGGGACCCUUCUCUUUUUAACUCUAAAGCCCAUUUGUUUACCUGGAUACCACACAGAUGCCCUUUGUGGUGCAACAUUUAGCCCAUUGAAGGCUAAUUAUGUGAGUCUCACAAUUGUGUGAGUCUGUCAUGAAGUAUAGCCUAGACUUGACAAUGAUUGAUUUCUCCAAAGAACCCCUUCAGCAGGGAGAUCCCAAAUCAGAGAGCCCUUGCCCUUACCCAGGACAGCCAAUGUCUCUGCAGCUCCACACGGAGCACCAGCUACCGUGGAGGGGUUGACCUGGGCCUGGAGUCCAGGACAGGCUGAGGAAUGCCCUUCCCCCAGCCCUCUCCCUGAGUGUCAGUCCCUGAGUUAGACACUGUCACAGGAGAGGGCUUGGAAGCCACCUUCUGACUCACCACACCCAUCCCAGCCAUGCCCCCUCACCCUGGCAAGCACCCAGGGGCUGUAUGUUGAUUUGUCUCUCCCCUAAUACAAGGCCCUGACCUCCACCAGCAGAGCCAGACUGUCUGCCUGCAAGCCUGGCUUUUUAUUCUGCUGCACUACAGAAAUUAUGCAAAUCACAGCUAUUAGUAUAACAGCUUUUGCAGAAUUCAGAAGAAAAAGGCAAAAAAAAAAAAAAAAACCACACAAUCACAAAAUCCCUAUGUUUGGUUAAAAGACCAUGAAUUUCCCCAUUGUCCUCACUCACUCUCUUGUCAAUAUGAGAUGUAUACAUCUGAAGCCUGCUUUUCAGUCUUAUGAACAUCUAUAAAAGAGACAUCAGUCAGCAGAAACCUCUGGUACUGCGACAUGAAAGAGAAUGAGGGAAAAACCCAACUCUAGCCAGGAUGGAGAAGAGAGGAAAGGCAAGAUGUGGGAGGCAGCCCCAGAAGGCCCAGGCGGGGUCUCUAGAGGAACCUAAGAAGACUCUGGUGUGGGACAAAGCUCCAAUGUGCUCUGAGCACUCUCGCUGUCCUUCCAGAGGGCCUCGUUCCCCUUCUCAUUCAUCUCACUCACCACAC